ACACAUGCAGUCGAGCGGCAGCGACAACAUUGAACCUUCGGGGGAUUUGUUGGGCGGCGAGCGGCGGACGGGUGAGUAAUGCCUGGGAAAUUGCCCUGAUGUGGGGGAUAACCAUUGGAAACGAUGGCUAAUACCGCAUGAUAGCUUCGGCUCAAAGAGGGGGACCUUCGGGCCUCUCGCGUCAGGAUAUGCCCAGGUGGGAUUAGCUAGUUGGUGAGGUAAGGGCUCACCAAGGCGACGAUCCCUAGCUGGUCUGAGAGGAUGAUCAGCCACACUGGAACUGAGACACGGUCCAGACUCCUACGGGAGGCAGCAGUGGGGAAUAUUGCACAAUGGGUGCAAGCCUGAUGCAGCCAUGCCGCGUGUAUGAAGAAGGCCUUCGGGUUGUAAAGUACUUUCAGCAGUGAGGAAGAAGGUAUCGUUAAUAGCGGUAUCUUUUGACGUUAGCUGCAGAAGAAGCACCGGCUAACUCCGUGCCAGCAGCCGCGGUAAUACGGAGGGUGCGAGCGUUAAUCGGAAUUACUGGGCGUAAAGCGCAUGCAGGUGGUUUGUUAAGUCAGAUGUGAAAGCCCGGGGCUCAACCUCGGAAUUGCAUUUGAAACUGGCAGGCUAGAGUACUGUAGAGGGGGGUAGAAUUUCACGUGUAGCGGUGAAAUGCGUAGAGAUCUGAAGGAAUACCGGUGGCGAAGGCGGCCCCCUGGACAGAUACUGACACUCAGAUGCGAAAGCGUGGGGAGCAAACAGGA
rnacentral:rRNA from 1 species